rnacentral:tRNA from 1 species
UUUGUAGCUCAGUUGGUAGAGCAGCGGACUGAAAAUCCGCGUGUCGCUGGUUCGACUCCGGCCGA